rnacentral:rRNA from 1 species
AGCAGCCGCGGUAAUUCCAGCUCCAAUAGCGUAUAUUAAAGUUGUUGCAGUUAAAAAGCUCGUAGUUGAAUUUCGGGAUUCAUCCGUUGGUCGGGCUUCACGGUCCGUACUGGUGUGAUGGGUUCCUACCUUCUGAAUAACCGGCAUGCCAUUAAUUUGGUGCGCCGGGGAAGCAGAACUAUUACCUUGAAAAAAUUAGAGUGCUUAAAGCAGGCAAGUGCCUGAAUAGGUUAGCAUGGAAUAAUAAAAUAGGACGGCAUGGUUCUAUUUUGUUGGUUUCUAGGAUCACCGUAAUGAUUAAUAGGGAUAGUUGGGGGCAUUAGUAUUCAAUUGUCAGAGGUGAAAUUCUUGGAUUUAUUGAAGACUAACUUCUGCGAAAGCAUUUGCCAAGGAUGUUUUCAUUAAUCAAGAACGAAAGUUAGGGGAUCGAAGACGAUCAGAUACCGUCGUAGUC